rnacentral:lncRNA from 1 species
UUCAUAAGAGGCUAAUACUAAGUCAAUAUUGAAAACAAUGCACAACUAAAAUUGUAGAAAAUUACAACACAAAAACUUAUUUAAGAAAUGUCAUAUAAAAAUACAAAAGUGGUACUGAGAUCUUUAUCUCUACAAAGUGGAUACAGAUUCAGCCCAAGGCCAUUAUUUUCAAAGCUCACAAGAGGACCUUUCUAUAAGGAGAUGAACCCAUAAGGAGACAAAGCAUUAUGUUUUAAUUCCUGUAACAUCUCAUGAAUGGUAUUUUUCUAUCAACUUUAUCAUUUCAACUCUAGUAAUAAUUAGUUUUCUAGACGCUACUUUCCCAUUUAAGAGUAAAAUCAAGUCAACCCCUCAGUUUCUUAAAUCCUAAGGCUGUGUAGGCAUCAUCUUUUUGCAAAAGUAAGUUUUCUCCUCCCAUAACACUGCUUUGCAGUUUCCCUCAGGAAAAUUGUACAUUUUCAUGUGUUUUACUUUUCCUUCAAAAUAUUAGAGUAUGAUCACAGAAUAUACUGGAGCCAUGAAGUAUUUCUCAAUAUCUUGAGUUCAGUCUCAACACCCAGAAAUAUCCUUGGACUGGUUUCUUUGUUAUGAAAUCUUGGGCCCUUUGGGAUUAAAGCCUCUUUCUCUGGCAUGAAAAGCUGCCCACUGGGAAUUUAAAUUACAUAAUCCUAUCACUCUAUAUUUUCCUCCACUGUUUUUGUAUUUCUGGAUAUACUUCCUGACAGUGUUUAUAAUCAAUCUAUGUCUACCACUGCCCAGCUAUCUUAAACUGUGCAUGAGUCAUCAGGCAUCAAGAAGUUAAGACCAAACAACCACUGGAUAAAAUAAAUCACCUACCCUCACCCCUCCAACUGAGGCACAGUGGCUAUAGCAAGACCACACAUGGAUCUUCUUCAACAAUAUUCUGUCCUUCAGUGGAAUAUGGAUUCCUAAGGACAUUGAACUUAGCAAAACCCUGUAUUCACCCACAUUCACCAGAAUGAUUUCUCAAACAUUUUUUAUACGCAGUAUGCUGAUGCUUUGCUGUCUAGACUUUUAGACCAACAAGGACUUUCCUGAUAUUAAAGAAUAGGUAACUUUCUUGGGGUCAUCUUAGUGCUAAAGUCUACACUGCCAUAUGGCUGGGAAACUGGCUCAAGGCUCCUGAUUUUCACAUCAAACUGUGUGUAGGUAACCAAGCAGCUUCAGAAACUUGCUAAUUUCACAAGUGAAAAAAGCACAGAACUUAACCAUCACUCCUUCUUUAAGGUAGUUUGCUGUCACACCUUGUAUCCCUUUAUUUUUUUUAAGUUUUAUUUAAGUAUAGUUGAGGUACAAUGUUGUGAUAAUUUCUACUGUACAACAGAGUGAUUCAGUUAUACAUGUAUAUACAUCCAUUCUCUUUCAGAUUAUUUUCGCACAUAGAUUAUCACAGAGUAUUGAGUAGAGUUCUCUGUGCUAUACAGCAGGUGCCUGUUGGCCAAUCAUUCCAUGUGCCUCAUGUGCAAAUGCCAGUCCCAAACACCCAAUCCAUGCCUCCCCCCUACCCACCCAUCCCCUUUGGUAACUAUAAGUUUGUUUUCAAAGUCUAUGAAUCUGUUUCUGUUCUGCAAAUAAAUUCAUAUAUAUCCUCUUUUUUAGAUCCCACAUGUAAGUGAUAUCAUAUGAUGUUUGUCUUUCACUAACUUCCCUUAGUAUGAUAAUCUCUAGGUCCAUCCUUGUUGUAGUAUAGACAUUUUGACAAUAUUGAUUCUUCCAACCCAAGAGGUAUAUCUUCCCAUCUGUCUGUUUCAUCUUUGAUUUCUUUCAUCAGUGUCUUACAUGUUUCAGAGUGCAGUAUCCCUUUUAAAUGCUAAAUCAUUUGUUAGUUCACAUCAGCUUCAGGUAAGAUCAUUUCUGGCUGGGACAACUUUCAUUGCUACUUAGUACCUGCUGGACUGACCUGUGGCCAUUCCCCCAAGACAAGUUUACCUGCACAUGAAAAAUUCAAGGUAGUCUCCAAACAGGGAAGGUUUUCAGGUGCUGAAGAAUGUAAAUCUAUGGAAUUCUCUCUCCAAAGUGCCCAUUUUGUCCAUUUACAGAGCUUUAUCCUAGUGGAGUUCCCAACCAAUCAGGAACUAUAAGAAAAGGCAUUUCAGAGUCUUGGGAUUGCCAGAACACUUGAUUUCUCCUUUUAUUUUUAUCUCUCUUCACAUGAUCUUCAUACUACUCAUAUAUUCAAUGUCAACAAACCAAUGCAGCAAGGAUGGUUCUUAUGACCAGACUCUUCUUCACCUACAUUUUCAAAUUGUCCCCCCUCUGGACACCUCCAGACAGUAAAAAUUCAUUCUGCAUUUAAGAAUCUGGUUCCAGGAAUUCCCAUCAUGACUCAGCAGAAAUGAAUCUGACUAGCAUACAUGAGGAUGCAGGUUUGAUCCUUUGUCUUGCUCAGUGGGUUAAGGAUCUGUCAUUUUCAUGAGCUGUGGUUUAGGUCACAGAUUUGGUUUGGAUCCCACGUCGCUUUGGCUGUGGUGUAGGCUGGCAGCUACAGCUUUGUUUCAACCCCUGGCCUGGGAACCUCCAUAUGCUGCAAGUGCAUCGCUAAAAAGACAAAAGACAAAAAAAAGAAAAGAAAAAACCUGGUUUGAAGUCUUCUCAUCUGUAUUUAUUACAUUCACAUUUGCCUUCAUUCAGUUGCCAUUCUAAGGUUUCUACUUUUUUUUGCAAAGGCCCAAUGAGUGGAAGAUGAAUUUGGUCUUCCUUACUCUAAAGCUAACUUCCAUCCAUGGUGGGUACUCUCAGCUACACCACAGACUCCCUCCCUGUGAAGACUGCGUAACUUGCAUUGUGCACCUAGAACCUUUAAUCAAUAUUCCAGCCCACCAAGGUGAAGUGGAUGGAAUAAGCAAAAUAAUCCAUGCCAAACACUGUCUCCUAUCCCUUAAACUUCAGAUUUGUUUUGCCAUAGCAAAAAUCUUGGAUGUCUUCUCUAGCCCUCUGCAGAACUACUCUCUUAGAACAACCAGGAAGACAGUUUUAAUUGUAAUAUCUUAAUUCUAUCAGUCUAAAUCACAGAAAAUCUUCACUCCAGACACGUGAAUGUUUUUCCAAGGGGAGAUAUUUGUCAUCAAACUCUGAAAUACUUGCAUGACUUUAAGAUUCUUUAUGUCAAUGCAAACAUACCCUAAAGGCUAAUCUAGCACAUUCAACCAGAGUCUAAAAGAAAAAGCCUCAUGUGCCCAAAGGGUGCCUGCUCUUCAUAGUAUAGGACAAUGGACUACAGUCAGGCCAUAACUGGGCUGGAGGGACUUGGAUGGCAAGGCUGCUUCUGUGACAACAUAGGACUCUUCAUUUCCCUCUCACACCUAGGAACUGAGGCUGUUCAAUGUUCAAGUGGGGAGUCAGGAAUUCCAGAGAGCCCAUAACUGGCCAGUAGGCAGGAGCUGAGUUGGACUGGUCUGUUGGAAGAACUGAGAGAGAUCAGCAUAGACCAGAGGAUCCAGUGCUAAUAUGUUUCCUGGAGUCCCAUUGAGGGCAGAAUAAGAUUUUCUUCUCUCAGAAGUGGCCUAAUGCUCCCCAUAUCACCAUGGCUGCUUAUCCCAAGCAGCCAGGCUAUAUUUAAUAGUAAAAAUUGGAAGUGGGCUUGUCCUAGCUUUUUAUAAUUGAACAGUAUCAUAGUUUGCAAUGCCAAUAACCCAUCACUCUCUCAUAUCUCAUAGGACAUUAGAAGAUAAAUUAGCAAUUCUUUUAAGUCUGAUUUUUAUUCCUUUUUAAAACUUUAGAAAGGUAUUAUAUAAAAGAUAAUGUCCACCUUUCCUGAUAUUUAAGACUUUAGCUUAGUUGAAUUUAAAGAAAUGAAAGCCGAAAUCUUACUUUGUUUAUUUGGGUCAUCUCUCUUUUCUUCUUGGUGAGCCUGGACCAGGUUUGUCAAUUUUGUUUACCCUUUCAAAAAAUCAGCUCUUGCUUUGAUUGAUUUUUCUAUUUUUUAAUCUCUAGUUUAUUUCCAAGGAUCUUUAUUAUUUCCUUCCUUCUGCUCACUUUAGGUUUUGUUUGUUCUUUUUCUAUCUCUUACAAGUGGUAGCUUAGGUUGCAGACAUGGCUCAGAUCCCACGUUGUUGUGGCUCUGGCAUAGGCCAGCAGCUACAGCUCCGAUUAGACCCCUAGACUGGGAACCUCCUUAUGCCAUGGGAGUGGCCCAAGAAAUGGCAAAAAGACAAAAAAAUAAAAUAAAAUAAUUAAAAAAAUAUUAUUGAGCAAGUUCAUUUGCAAUGUUGUUAAUUACUGCUGUAUUGCAAAGUGAUUCAGUUAUACAAAUAUAUAUUCUUUUUCAUUAUGGUUUAUUAGAGGAUACUGAAUGUAGUUCCUUAUGCUAUACAGUAGAACCUUAUUGUUUAACCAUUCUAUAUGUAACAGUUUUCAUCUGCUAAUCUCUAACACCCAAUCCUUCCCUUCCCGCAUAUCCCUUCCCUCUUGGCAACCACAAGUCUGUUGUCUAUGUCUGUAAGUCUGUUUCUGUUUUGUAGAUAGAUUAAUUUGUGUCAUAUUUUAGAUUCCACAUGUAAGUGAUAUCAUAGGUAUAUGUUUUUCUCUGACUUCAUUGAGUAUGAUAAUCUCUAGGUUCAUCCAUGUUGUGCAAAUGGCAUUAUUUCAUUCUUUCUUAUGGUUUAGUAAUACUCUAGUGUGUGUGUGUGUGUAUAUUUAUAUAUACACCACAUCUUAUUUAUCCAUUCCUCUGUCAAUAGACAUUUAGGUUAUUUCCAUGUCUUAGCUAUUGUAAAUAGUGCUGCUAUGAACACAGGGGGAUGCACAUACCUUUUCAAAUUAUAAUUUUAUCUGGAUAUAUGCCCAGGAGUGGGAUUGCUGGAUCAUAUGGCAACUCUAUCUUCAGUUUUUUGAAAAACCUCCAAAUAGUUUUCCAUAGUGGCUGCAUCAAUUUACAUUCCCAUCAACAGUUUAAGGAGGGUUCCCCUAGCUCCAUGUCCCUUCCAGGAUUUGUUAUUUAUAGACUUUUAAACGAUGGCCAUUCUCACUGGUGUGAAGUGGUACCUCACUGUAGUUUUUUCUUUGCACUUCUCCCAUAUUUAGUGAUGAACAUCGUUUCAUGUGGCUAUUGGCCAUCUGGAUGUCUUCUAUGGAGAAAUGUGCAUUUAGGUCUUCUGCCAGUUUUUCAAUCGGUUUAUUUUGUUGUUGUUGAUGAUGCCUUGCAUGAGUUACAUGUAUAGUUUGGAAAUUAAUCCCUAAUCAGUCUCAUCAUUUGAAAAUAUUUUCUCCCAGUCUGUAGGUUGUCUUUUCAUUUUGUUUAUGGUUUCCUUUGCUGUAUAUAAACUUGUAAGUUUAAGUCCUCUUUGUUUAUUUUUGCUUUUAUGUCUAUUGUUUGGGCUACCUUUUUUAUUCUAUUUAAAGGAGGAAAUGUUCUUUGCCACCCUCAAUGUUUUCUGUAGUACUCAUACCUUCUCAAAAGCACUGGCACUGGACUGUUAUAACACAACAGCCCCUCAGUUUCAUCCCAAGAGACAGCAUGCCCUCCCAAUCAAAUUAUCUUAUAUUUUUCUAGAGUCAGAGUUACCUACUUAUACUAUGGGACUUUCAAAUCCUUCAGCAAAUUGAGAAGUUACUCUGCUUGCAUUUGAUCUCUUUUACAAAGAUGCAAGUUAAAUUACUAAAAUUUUCUGUUUUCCCUCAGACUUGCCUUACUAAUGUUCCCUUCUUUUCUGUUACAUGCAAGGCAUCCUUUGGGGCUCCUCUUCCUAAUGCAGAGUUGGAUGUAGAGUGACAAUAAACUUUGUGCCCUCACCACUACUUGUACCUCCUGGAUUCUAGUUUUAAUCUUGCUAUUGUCAUUCUUUCAAAUUUGGUGUUUUAGCAUCCUAAAUAGUUCUACCAAGUGAUCUGAUUUGAAAACUUUCCAGUUAGCCCUCCAGCUCUCAUUAGAGCUCUUGUCUCAGCCAAAAAGAGCCACAUCUCUUGUCUGGUCCUUCCUAUAGACCUGUUUGAUUUAGUUCCUUGGCCUCUUUUCAAAUAAUAACCAACUUUUGACAUUUUGAGCAGAAAAUUCCAUCAUAGUGAUUGUGUGUUACUCUAAAUUGCUUUACUAGCUCCUCACUAUGGAGAAACUACAUUUAAUCAGGAUGAGUGGGACAUUUAUGGACAGUACAGGGAAGAAACUUAUCUUCACACUCUUCUAAAGUAUAAUUUCACCUUCCAGAGGACAGUUGAACAAAUGGUUGGACGUUUCAAAUAUACACAUACACACAUAUGUAUAUACAUACAGUCAGCUAAUAGUCAAUAACCAACCCAAAUCACAGUCUUUUCUCUUGGUUUGAUAUUAAUUAUGCUCAAGCCAUCUUUUCUUGACACCUCCAUGAGGUUCAGAAAUCUCCUUUCCAUAUGAUCAUAAGCUUUCAAAAACUCUUCCCAUCACAUUCUAAUUUUGGAGAGAUACAAAAUGCAAUCUAUAUAAAACUCCAAGGAAAUAAGAAGUACUUCUUUUUAUAAUUUUUUUUGUCUAGAAUUAGAAAAAUGUUACAUACGCAGGAACAUUUUAAAAGAACAAGCUAGUAAGCAGUGAAAUCAGAGGAUCUUUAAAAUCAGGAUGGAUACAUCUACUGUGUUGCAAAUAACUUGGAGGCUAUCUUGUCUAAAGGGCAAGGAGGUGAUCUAUACCAUGUCUCCCAUCUUCCCUCAUGAUGACAUUCAAUCACCUCAAACUACUGCUCUGGAGACCAGCCUCAAGUUCUCUCUUGAUGAAAAGUGGAUUGAACACACCUUUAUAAUUAGCUACUCUUUUUCGUUCUGUGCCCAAUUCUGGGAGGUGGGAGUGGACCUUGGGAAUCAAGUCCACACAGACGCAGACUUCUGGAGUGCCAAACAGUAGUGAGAAAUCUUUCUCAGCUAUCUGCACUACUCUGGGUGGUGAAAGACAGUCUUUUUCAACCUCACCACUGGCAUUCUCAUUCAUUCCUUAUGGAGCAGACCAUCAGUCAACAGGAGACAGAACAGGAAGCUGCUGGAAUAAGCAUAUGUAUCCAUAUUUCCCCUUUGAAUGGUCUGCCACCUCACUAAAGAACAUUUUCUCCAGCUGCUGCUAGCAGACACUAAUACCUAAACCACAAAUCAUCACAUUCCCCACCCUUUGAGCCAGGGCUUGUCCUUGAACUUCCCACAUAGUGAGAUAUUAACCAAACUGGCCACUGAUACAAUAUCUCUUUGCAAAAUCAUUAAAAAACAAAAAACAAAACAAACAAAAAAAAAAA